AUUGAACGCUGGCGGCAGGCCUAACACAUGCAAGUCGAACGAGUGGCGGACGGGUGAGUAAUGUCUGGGAAACUGCCUGAUGGAGGGGGAUAACUACUGGAAACGGUAGCUAAUACCGCAUACCAUCAGAUGUGCCCAGAUGGGAUUAGCUUGUUGGUGGGGUAACGGCUCACCAAGGCGACGAUCCCUAGCUGGUCUGAGAGGAUGACCAGCAACACUGGAAAGGAGAGAAGGUCCAGAGUACUACGGGAGGAAGCAGUGGGGAAAAGUGCACAAGGGGCGAAAGACUGAUGCAGCCAUGCCGCGUGUAUGAAGAAGGCCGUCGGGGUGGAAAGUACUUUAAGCGGGGAGGCGUUACCCGCAGAAGAAGCACCGGCUAACUCCGUGCCAGCAGCCGCGGUAAUUC
rnacentral:rRNA from 1 species